CCCGCGCUUAUUGGCGAUGGUCACACCAAUAUGUACAACCAAAACGUACAACAGCGGCUCCGCUGAUUCAAGGGCUUACGGGUAUGAUGUUAAUAUUCUACAUCAUAAACUAUGGCAAAACCAUUCGUCACCGAAACUACAA
rnacentral:lncRNA from 14 species